rnacentral:rRNA from 1 species
CCUACGGGUGGCAGCAGUAGGGAAUAUUGCACAAUGGGGGAAACCCUGAUGCAGCAACGCCGCGUGGAGGAUGAAGUUUUUCGGUUUGUAAACCUCUAUUGUCAGAGAAGAAAAUGACGGUAUCUAACGAAUAAGCACCGGCUAACUCCGUGCCAGCAGCCGCGGUAAUACGGAGGGUGCAAGCGUUACUCGGAUUUACUGGGUGUAAAGGGCGCGUAGGCGGGAUAGCAAGUCAGAUGUGAAAUGCUAUGGCUUAACCAUAGAACUGCAUUUGAAACUGUUAAUCUAGAGUACAGGAGAGGUAGGUGGAAUUCUUGGUGUAGCGGUAAAAUGCGUAGAGAUUAGGAGGAAUACUCGUGGCGAAGGCGACCUGCUGGAACGUAACUGACGCUGAGGCGCGAAAGCGUGGGGAGCAAACAGGAUUAGAUACCCGUGUAGUC